UGGCGGGCGCCUACACAUGCAGUCAACGAGAAAGUGGAGCAUCCAUGAGUACAGUGGCGCACUGGUGAGUAACACGUGGGUAUUUACCUCUUUGUGGGGAAUAACCCUGGGAAACCGGGGCUAAUACCGCAUACGUCCGAGAGGAGAAAGCCGAAAGGCGCAAAGAGAGAAGCCCGCGCCCGAUUAGCUAGUUGGUGAGGUAACGGCUCACCAAGGCGACGAUCGGUAGCCGGCCUGAGAGGGCACACGGCCACACUGGCACUGAAACACGGGCCAGACUCCUACGGGAGGCAGCAGUGGGGAAUCUUGCACAAUGGGGGAAACCCUGAUGCAGCGACGCCGCGUGAGUGAUGAAGCCCUUCGGGGUGUAAAGCUCUUUCGACGGGGACGAUUAUGACGGUACCCGAAGAAGAAGCUGCG
rnacentral:rRNA from 1 species